AUGGCAAGCCCCAGUUUGCUGUGGGCAGUCGUGGUUUACACCUAUCUUGGAUCCAGUGUGGCCCAGAUGGUCACUCAGCCUCAACCAGAAAUAUCUGUGCAGGAGGCAGACCCAGUGACCCUGGACUGUACGUAUAGCACUAGUGACAGUAAUUAUUAUUUGUUGUGGUACAAACAGCCUCCCAGUGGGGAGAUGAUUUUCAUUAUUGGCCAAGAAGCUUAUAAACCACAGAAUGCAACCAACAGUCGCUACUCUGUGAACUUCCAGAAAGAAGCCAAAUCCUUCAGUCUCAGGAUCUCAGACUCCCAGCUGGAGGAUGCUGCAAUGUAUUUCUGCGCUUACAGGGCAAAAAUGAAUGCACAGCUCACCUUUGGAAGCGGGACUCAACUCAUCGUGGAACCAAAUAUCCAGAACCCCGACCCUGCCGUGUACCUGCUGAGAAGCCCCAAAUCCAGCAACACCUCCGUCUGCUUAUACACCGAUUUUGAAUCUCAAGCCAAUGUGUCACAAGUCACGACGCCCGUGGUGUUCAGCUCAGACAGCACCAUGCUAGACAUGGGAGUCUUGGGUUCCAGGAGCAAUGGAGUCGUGGCUUGGGGCAGCAGGACCCAUUUGGGAUGCACAGCCGCCUUCAACCAGACCUUCUACUCCAGCUCAGGAAUUCCCUGUGAUGCCAAGAUAGCAGAGAAAAGCUUUGAAACAGAUAUGAACCUAAACUUCCAAAACUUGUCAGUGAUCGGGUUCCGCGUCCUCUUCCUGAAAGUGGUCGGGUACAACCUGCUCAUGACGCUGCGGCUGUGGUCCAGCUGAGGUCUCCAAGAACAUGCUCCCUCUCCCCUUGUUCCUUGUCACCCCUCCUCUCCCUCUUCAAGCAGAGAGGUGAACUCUCUGCCCCCAUGGACAGGAAGGCUCCCUCCACCUCUCUGGCCCCACUAGCAAUACCACCAACUGGAUCCUACCAGAUAUUCGUGAUCAAGACGCUGAAGAGCUGCCCAGCACUGCUGCCACCCCCUCUGUUCCCUCACUGCUGCUUGUCACUGCCUGGCAUUCUCAGCAAAGACGGAGCCCGCUGCAGCCUCUCCUGGCUGUGGGGAAACUCCCUCCCCGCCCCUCCCCUCCCAGAGACUGCCUCUGAUGUCCCCCUGGAGGAUGGAUCCCAGUGGGUUCUCUUGGGCUCUAGCUCCUGGAGAAUGUUGUGUGCUGUUUAUCUUUUUUACAUAGUGUUCAUAAAGAAAUACGUAUCACCCUUUUUCCCAAGAUGUGGGGGAGAGUAUCUCAUGAUCUAGGCCCUGCUCUGCUUGUGUAUCUGAGCCACGUUGUA